CCUGCUAGCAUAAAGCUUCAAUCAGUAAACAUCAAUAAGAAGGGGGAAAAAGCCAGUUACAACCCCUUCCAAUUUUCUAAAGGCCAAUCACAUACUAAUGAAGCAUAGGAGAGAAUAUUCAUUUAAUGUUCCUCCUCCCUCCCUUCGCCACUUAGCAGCAGAAACAUACAACUGUUACAACUUUCAUGCUGCUCCCCACAUGAAAUUUAGUAAUUUACACCAAUGGCUCAAAGUUCUUUGUAAUAAUAAGUAAAGGAGGAGAUAAACAAAUUAGAGAAUCAGGAGACAUAAUCAACUCUCAAAUUGCAUGCCCCUCUUUUAGCCUGAUUCUAAAAAUAGGCAACCAAACAAGAGGCCAAUCCAAUGGUUGAUUUCAAGGAAAUGAGAUCAAUGUGACCGUGGAUACUACUGCAGUCUCCUCGGAACAAGGCAGGUAAUGCUGCAAUAAAAUAUACCAGGAGUGUCAUAAAAUCACUGUACCAAUCCCUUUCAAGUUACAACUUCUGUGGUCGGUCAAUUUGAACUUAUCCAAGCAAGAAUUUGAAAAUGUCACUCAGUGUAACAAUGCCUUCUACACGUUUACUGCCUGCUUCCACAAUGAUUAGCCGUCUAACACCUGGGUUUGCCAAUCGCUCCAUCACUUUAUGCAAUGUAUCAGAACGCAAACACAUCUGACAUCUUUGAUUUAGUCUCUCAUACAGAGAAUAGGAAUCUUGUCCCAAUUGCAAAGCCUGAUGAAUAGUCAUUUCAUUAAUAUUGAUAUGUGUAUAAACUCUAUCUUUUGCCAAAGCAGUUAUAUCACUCCGACAAUAUAUAUCUAGUAACGAGUCGUUAUCGUCAACUAUAGGUAUUGAACUUACUUGAGCUUGAAUCAACAGGUUUAAAGCUGAACCAAGUGAAGCGCUUGGUCUCAACAUUGCCAAAGGGCGUCUAUUAGAUUCUCCGAUCUUUGGAACCCAUGUACCCACUGGAAUUGCACAAAUUGGCAGUUGAAGUAUAGGCAAGGUGCCAGAACAAUGUCUAAAAUAUCUGCAAAUACAUUUAAGUAUUCCAGAAAGUGAAGCAAGAUGCAGUAGCUGCGGAAAUGAACCAUCUUCUGAAGAUGAAUGGAUAAUGGGAAUUGUCGCCACCUCUUUUUGCAAUAUUCUCAAAGCAACCUCUUUCAAAUUAUCAUAUGGCCCAGCAUGGAUGAGACGUCUAGAAAAUGCCCUCCCAUGCCCAUCAAUUUGUCUAUUCAGAUAUGCUUUUCCCUCUUUCCAGGCAGAUAUGGUGUGUGUAUCAAGCUCUUCCUCUGUCAAAUUUGAUCCAUGAUUUCCAAUCUCUCUCAAAAUUAAAAUGAAAUCCAGUGCACUGAGCAUUCCGACAAACUGGCCCUUGCUUCCCAAAGAGGAGCCACAGGAAUUCCCUGCUCAUACAAAAUAUGAAAUGCUUGCUUUACUGGUAAAUCAACAUCCAAGGCAAGAACCUUGCCUGACUUGGGAAAUAACUCGUAUGCAGUGUGAGUUGACAAAAAGACAGAUAUGUGGUGACGAGAGACCUGUAAGUCAGCCUCUGAUAUCCUUGG
rnacentral:misc_RNA from 1 species